UACGUAGGCAGCAAGCGUUGUUCGGAAUUACUGGGCGUAAAGCGUGCGCAGGCGGUUUGCUAGACAGGUGUGAAAUCCCCGGGCUUAACCUGGGAACUGCGCUUGUAACUGGCAAGCUGGAGUGUGGCAGAGGGAAGUGGAAUUCCCGGUGUAGUGGUGAAAUGCGUAGAUAUCGGGAGGAACACCAGUGGCGAAGGCGACUUCCUGGCCUGUUCUUGACGCUGAGGCGCGAAAGCUAGGGAGCAACGGGGAGUAAGAACCCAU
rnacentral:rRNA from 1 species